rnacentral:rRNA from 1 species
GAUGAACGCUGGCGGCGUGCCUAAUACAUGCAAGUCGAGCGAACAGACGAGGAGCUUGCUCCUCUGACGUUAGCGGCGGACGGGUGAGUAACACGUGGAUAAUCUACCUAUAAGACUGGGAUAACUUCGGGAAACCGGAGCUAAUACCGGAUAAUAUAUUGAACCGCAUUGUUCAAUAGUGGAAGUCGGUUUUGCUGUCACUUCUAGAUGGAUCUGCGCGGUAUUAGCUAGUUGGUACGGUAAGGGCUUAUCAAGGCAACGAUGCGUAGCCGACCUGAGGGGGUGGUCGGCCGCACGGGAACUGGGACACGGUCCAGGGACCUACGGGAAGCAGCAGUAGGGAAUGUUCCGCAAUGGGCGAAAGCUUUACGGAGCAACGCCGCGUGAGUGAUGAAGGUCUUCGGAGCGUAAAACUCUGUUAUUAGGGAAAAACAAAUGUGUAAUUAACUGUGCACGGCGUGACGGUAAUUAAUAAGAAAGCCACGGCUAACUACGUG